rnacentral:lncRNA from 1 species
CUGGCGCAGCUACUCCGGCCGGCUUGUUAAAUUCCUACUCAGUGCAAACAGCCACCGCACGGAUACCUGAAUGAAAAAUACACUUGACUUAAAAAGAGAAAGCGAAAACAUAUUCAUGUGCAUUAAAGUGUUUUUAUUUUUAAGGUAACCGUCACAACAAGCACUUAAAUUGCGUGGGGUAACAUGCAAAUACUCUUCCCAUGAUGCCUUGUGAACUCACAUCUCACCGUCUUUCAGUCCCCUGCCUGUCUCUCUCUCUCUCUCCAAAUCCUCCACCUGGUUCUUUCCGGCUCUCUCUGACCCCAUCUCCCUCCUUCCACCUGCAGCUCUCUCCCUGCCCCUCUCCCCGUGUCUGAAGUCACGACAGCGCCCUCCUUCUCCUCCAGCGCACCCAGAUCGAGGACCGUCACGCCUCAAACUGCUACGCGAUUCUGAAUGAAUGCUGGCAAGAGCGCAGCCCGGAAAACACCCCCCCCCUCAGAAAAAAGAAACGUGUGGACCUUUAGAAACAGACCGAGCUUUACUUGAACAAAACACAAUGUAGAAGAGCACACAACGGCUUGCACAGAGGGAUGACGGCUGGGCGCUGACCAUGUCUGCGUGCCCCAGCGCCAGCCCGGACCAGCUCUGUCUGAGCCCCCCGGGACGUGAGCGGGGUCGGAGGGGGCUAGUGGGGACCAGCACUUUCCGAGUGCGCCCAGGGCUCCGGUAUGGUCACGCAGCGGGCCCGCGGCACUCUGGCGCCACCCUGUGGGGCACGGGGGCGUGGGANCCAGGAACAACAGGGCCCCACACCUGCAUGACACACGCGCACAGCACCGGGAGUUUCCAACUCGCGUCACGUAAUCAGAAGUCCCAUAUUUACCUGGACAUACCGAUCCUCUCGAUAUCGUCAAGGAAUCUUAAAGGGCACCUUUAGCCAGAAAGGGAAAGAGCUCGUGCAUGCGGUUAUUUUUCAUGUUUGUGGCUCAUUUCCUUCACAAACACAAAAAAGGCAGUGGGGUGCCGCCACUCCUGCGCGCCCACCUCUUACCCCUUGGCCUGAAGAGUUCACGGCAUUACCAGUGUUCGCUUGAAAUGUCGUAUUAUUAAAAAGCUAAAGCGACUUACACCUGCACACAUUUAUACCGCUGGGUGACGUGUUUCAUCUGGGAUUUGAACCCACAGCCUUCCAGUCCCGAGUGCAGAACGCUAAGCAUCCGUAACACCCAGUACCAGUGCACCCAGUACACCCAGUACCUGUGCCAUCCUGUGAUACAGUGCCAAGUGCCAGACUGAGUCCCUGGGUACCCAGACUGCGUGUCAAACAGUGUGUCUCCCGCAACAUGUUACACUGUUAAGAGCAGCACAUCCUAACUUCCCUUAACAGAGACAGGAAACUGCAGCACACAUUUUUUGGUCAUACACACACGCACACACUUUCCUCUAGGAGUCUUUACGUAUUAAUCUCACGACAGGUUCCCUUUACUGUUACAGUCCUGGGCGAUCGGUACUAAACUGGUUACUCGGCAGGGCACAGACUGCCGCGAAACCAGCUGGGGAAGAUUAGCAACAGAACAGCAGCUGCCCCAGCCGCCUGUCAGGGAAGGAGCCCGCCUGGGCCGAGCCCCAGCCCCGCAUGACUGCAUAGGCUGUCCCCGUCCCCCCCGAGCCACGGGGAGGGUGGAACCGUGGUUAUGUACAGGGGACACGCAAGGGGGAACCCUAACUUGUUCACGCAGGAUAUGCUUGAAACAUCCAAAUUGGAAAAAAAUAAUGACAGCGCUAGGUUCGCAAAGCGCUCCCACUGGCCGGCCCAGCUGCAGCAGCCUGCGUGCCAUAAUGAGGACGGCAACCAGCCUGUAGGGGGCGCUGCAAGCCACUGCUGUCUGCGGGAGCUCGGGAGACUCUCUGACAGCGGGAGACGGAGGGACCCGCGAUCUCUCCCAGACCGCAGCAGUAUUAAGACACUAAGGAGAGGGGCACGACGACAUCGCCUUUCCUCACACGGCUGAGGCCCAAUCUUCUCAGCCGGCCGGGGGCUGGAGCUCAGCCCCUGGAAAGGUGAUGCUCCCCCGCCCUCGACAGCACGACAGCACGCACACACACACACAGUCACUCGCACAGGCGUCUGCACACGGUGGGCACGCAGCUAGCCAAGCCCAUGGGAGGAAGGGCUGGAAUGAGUCUGCAGACAUGGGAUUUGGGGGCGUGUCUCCGUAGGGACCUUCACGAUUACAGCACUCGAUGGCCGUUGAUGACCAAGUCAUCAAACUCCUCCUAGAGAGAGAGAGGGAGAGAGGGAGAGGGAGAGGGAGAGGGAGAGGGAGAGGGAGAGAGAGAGAGAAUAUGUCUUUGUUGUAAAUGUCUGUAACAUGUCUGUAGAUUUUAUUUUACUUCUAUUUUUUGUUUUGUUCUAUGUUAAUUUUAUUAUUUUUAUUUGCUUUGGCAACACUGAUUGUACCCAUCGGUCAUGCUAAUAAAGCACCUUGAAUUGAAUUGA